CCGGCGAUUUCCGAAUGGGGAAACCCAGUGUGAUUCGUCACACUAUCAUUAACUGAAUCCAUAGGUUAAUGAGGCGAACCGGGGGAACUGAAACAUCUAAGUACCCCGAGGAAAAGAAAUCAACCGAGAUUCCCCCAGUAGCGGCGAGCGAACGGGGAGGAGCCCAGAGCCUGAAUCAGUGUGUGUGUUAGUGGAAGCGUCUGGAAAGGCGCGCGAUACAGGGUGACAGCCCCGUACACAAAAAUGCACAUGCUGUGAGCUCGAUGAGUAGGGCGGGACACGUGGUAUCCUGUCUGAAUAUGGGGGGACCAUCCUCCAAGGCUAAAUACUCCUGACUGACCGAUAGUGAACCAGUACCGUGAGGGAAAGGCGAAAAGAACCCCGGCGAGGGGAGUGAAAAAGAACCUGAAACCGUGUACGUACAAGCAGUGGGAGCACGCUUAGGCGUGUGACUGCGUACCUUUUGUAUAAUGGGUCAGCGACUUAUAUUCUGUAGCAAGGUUAACCGAAUAGGGGAGCCGAAGGGAAACCGAGUCUUAACUGGGCGUUAAGUUGCAGGGUAUAGACCCGAAACCCGGUGAUCUAGCCAUGGGCAGGUUGAAGGUUGGGUAACACUAACUGGAGGACCGAACCGACUAAUGUUGAAAAAUUAGCGGAUGACUUGUGGCUGGGGGUGAAAGGCCAAUCAAACCGGGAGAUAGCUGGUUCUCCCCGAAAGCU
rnacentral:rRNA from 1 species